GACAGAGGGUGCAAACGUUGUUCGGAAUUACUGGGCGUAAAGCGCGUGUAGGCGGCUAUGCAAGUCGGAUGUGAAAGCCCUCGGCUCAACCGGGGAAGUGCACCCGAAACUGCAAAGCUAGAGUCUCGGAGAGGAUCGUGGAAUUCUCGGUGUAGAGGUGAAAUUCGUAGAUAUCGAGAGGAACACCAGCGGCGAAGGCGGCAUCCUGGACCAACACUGACACUGAAAAGCGAAAGCCAGGGGAGCAAACGGG
rnacentral:rRNA from 1 species